GACGAACGCUGGCGGCGUGCCUAAUACAUGCAAGUAGAACGCUGAAGAGAGGAGCUUGCUCUUCUUGGAUGAGUUGCGAACGGGUGAGUAACGCGUAGGUAACCUGCCUUGUAGCGGGGGAUAACUAUUGGAAACGAUAGCUAAUACCGCAUAACAAUGGAUGACACAUGUCAUUUAUUUGAAAGGGGCAAUUGCUCCACUACAAGAUGGACCUGCGUUGUAUUAGCUAGUAGGUGAGGUAACGGCUCACCUAGGCGACGAUACAUAGCCGACCUGAGAGGGUGAUCGGCCACACUGGGACUGAGACACGGCCCAGACUCCUACGGGAGGCAGCAGUAGGGAAUCUUCGGCAAUGGGGGCAACCCUGACCGAGCAACGCCGCGUGAGUGAAGAAGGUUUUCGGAUCGUAAAGCUCUGUUGUAAGUCAAGAACGAGUGUGAGAGUGGAAAGUUCACACUGUGACGGUAGCUUACCAGAAAGGGACGGCUAACUACGUGCCAGCAGCCGCGGUAAUACGUAGGUCCCGAGCGUUGUCCGGAUUUAUUGGGCGUAAAGCGAGCGCAGGCGGUUUGAUAAGUCUGAAGUUAAAGGCUGUGGCUCAACCAUAGUUCGCUUUGGAAACUGUCAAACUUGAGUGCAGAAGGGGAGAGUGGAAUUCCACGUGUAGCGGUGAAAUGCGUAGAUAUAUGGAGGAACACCGGUGGCGAAAGCGGCUCUCUGGUCUGUAACUGACGCUGAGGCUCGAAAGCGUGGGGAGCGAACAGGAUUAGAUACCCUGGUAGUCCACGCCGUAAACGAUGAGUGCUAGGUGUUGGAUCCUUUCCGGGAUUCAGUGCCGCAGCUAACGCAUUAAGCACUCCGCCUGGGGAGUACGACCGCAAGGUUGAAACUCAAAGGAAUUGACGGGGGCCCGCACAAGCGGUGGAGCAUGUGGUUUAAUUCGAAGCAACGCGAAGAACCUUACCAGGUCUUGACAUCCCGAUGCUAUUUCUAGAGAUAGAAAGUUACUUCGGUACAUCGGUGACAGGUGGUGCAUGGUUGUCGUCAGCUCGUGUCGUGAGAUGUUGGGUUAAGUCCCGCAACGAGCGCAACCCCUAUUGUUAGUUGCCAUCAUUCAGUUGGGCACUCUAGCGAGACUGCCGGUAAUAAACCGGAGGAAGGUGGGGAUGACGUCAAAUCAUCAUGCCCCUUAUGACCUGGGCUACACACGUGCUACAAUGGUUGGCACAACGAGUUGCGAGUCGGUGACGGCAAGCUAAUCUCUUAAAGCCAAUCUCAGUUCGGAUUGUAGGCUGCAACUCGCCUACAUGAAGUCGGAAUCGCUAGUAAUCGCGGAUCAGCACGCCGCGGUGAAUACGUUCCCGGGCCU
rnacentral:rRNA from 1 species